GCUGCCCAGCAUUCCGCGUGCGGGAAGAAGGCCUUCGGGUUGUAAACCGCUUUUGGCAGGAACGAAACGGCGCAAGCCAAUACCUUGCGCUAAUGACGGUACCUGCAGAAGNAAGCACCGGCUAACUACGUGCCAGCAGCCGCGGUAAUACGUAGGGUGCAAGCGUUAAUCGGAAUUACUGGGCGUAAAGCGUACGCAGGCGGCUUUGCAAGACAGGUGUGAAAUCCCCGGGCCUAACCUGGGAACUGCAUUUGUGACUGCAUGGCUAGAGUCUGCCAGAGGGGGGUGGAAUUCCACGUGUAGCAGUGAAAUGCGUAGAGAUGUGGAAGAACACCGAUGGCGAAGGCAGCCCCCUGGGAUGAGACUGACGCUCAUGUACGAAAGCUGUGGGGAGCAAACAGGAUUAGAUACCCUGGUAGUCCACUGCCCUAAACGAUGUCUACUAGUUGUCGGAGGGUAACUCCUUCGGUAACGCAGCUAACGCGUGAAGUAGACCGCCUGGGGAGUACGGUCGCAGAUUAAAACUCAAAGGAAUUGACGGGGACCCGCACAAGCGGUGGAUGAUGUGGCAUUAAUUCGAUGCAACGCGAAAAACCUUACCUACCCUUGACAUGCCACUAACGAAGCAGAGAUGCAUUAGUGCCCGAAAAGGGAAAGUGGACACAAG
rnacentral:rRNA from 1 species